rnacentral:tRNA from 1 species
UAGAGAAAAAGGACUCGAACCUGAAACUGAGAAAUCAAACCCUCUGUUAUACCAUUUCACUAU